rnacentral:lncRNA from 1 species
GCCUUUCAACUGAUUCUGAAGACAGUCCCAGCAAAACCACCCAACAGCUGUACGAUCUCACUGCACUAAAUUGCAAGUGUUGGAAGGCGCAGCAGUCCAGCUUCAGUAUCCAUUGAGAUCAAAACUAAAGAAAUGGACCCAUCUCUAUUCAAAAUGAAUUUCUUUUAUACGAAAAACACAAAGGAAACUGAAGCUACAUUUCUAAAUACUGAAAAGCAAAGAAUAAAGUGCAGAAGAAAAGCAUCACAAGUUGUAGAAACUGCUAAGACUGUGAAUACAACAUAUACAUAAGAGAUUAAGGAAUAAUGAAAACUCUCACAGGAUACUCUGAGAACAACUGAGUUAGGCACAAUCAAAUUGCAUUUCAGUGAAGAUAAGAUCAUACAAUGAGGUUCAAAAAAGUAUGUGUGGGGAUGCUUCAAGAAGAGUGCACUUAUCCUGGAAAACAGUUGCAGUGAAAAAAUUGGCAUGAAGGUGAAGCACAAUUUGUCACUUCUGUGAAAAGUGUUAGUGUGAACCUGAGCCAAAAGGUCCCACUUUACACUUGGUGAAGAAAAACAGGUCUGUAAGCAGGAAUGUCCACUGCCUUUAAGGUGAGCCAAUGACCUCUCUGGAAAUACCAUGUCUUGUUCCAGAAACCAGAUUUGUAGAGAUGUAGAACAACACAAGAAGGAUCUGAAAAGAGAUAGGAGUAUGAUUAGAGGACAAAUAAUCUAUUGUAUACUGAGAAAUUCAGAGAGCACUGUCUCAGUUCAUCAAAGUAAAAAUUAAGGACUGAUUUAAUUGCAAUCUUUAAGUGUGUAUAUGAAACAGAAAUGUGAUAGUCCAUGCCUCUUCAAUCUGAUUAAUAAAAAGACAACAGUGUUCA